CAUAAGAUUUGUGCUCUAUAUGAAAAUAUACUGUGUUAAAGAUAAUUACAUUAAUAACUAAUAAUUUGAUUAGUUUUGUCAAAGAUUGUAAUUGAAUAAAGACUGAUAUCUAAAAUCUUCCCAUUUUACAGAGUCUGUCCAAAGGAAUCAGACUUCAGAAUUUAAGCCACAUGAUGCUUCACAACAUAAUAAAUCGUGGAGAAAUCUGAUCAUCAUCAUCAUCUCAUCUGCCCUGCUCAAUGUGCUUUUGAUCAUCACUUUAAUAGCUUUGGUGAUUCGCUACCUUCAUGCAACUAGAAAAUGUACAAAUAUUUCAAACAACCCUCAAACCACCACGGCAGCAGAUACACAGUACGCUGAAAUUGAUUAUCCCAUUCGCCCCAGAGAAAGCAGGCCUUGCCAGGACCAGACCACCUAUUCUCUUUUACAGCCAAUGAAAACCGUGAAUAAGAAGUAGUUUAAAAUGUAGUAUGUUUGAUAAAUAUACUUUGAAUAUUAAAAAUGUGUAUUAAAGUUUGACAUUUCUGUAAUUCCAUUUGUAGAA